GGAGCAGCACGCCAAAAACGUAACGGCGGAGGAGUCUUGAAGCCAGGCUUGGGAGCGUGAAAUGAAAGGGGGAGAGGCUGAAGAAAGGGGUGUCUCCUCUUUAUGUGGUGGUGGAGAAAAAAAAAAUAUAAAAGUCUCCUUUUCGUUAAGUCAAAGGUGCACCUACUUGGAAGGCAGGGCACAUAGUAGGUAAAAUUAUAGGGAUUUUCCGCCUCCUUUGCGAAUAAAUACUGUAUAAUUUUUCCAGCACUCAGGCUGCAGUAUUUUGCCACAGUUAUGGUGUGUCCCCGCCCUCCUCGAACGAGCAGGCAUAUAGCGAGUACUGUCUGCAAGGUGUGCUCUGUGCGACUGUCAUUGAUACAGGGAUGUCUAUGGGCGAGCAGCGGCGUGAAAUGUUAUUUUUAAGUUGUCUUUCUCUUCUGCCUCCCCCACCGUCUGUACAACUUACCAGGCGGUAAGUCACACAGAACUCAAUAGAACUUGCUUCCGAGCUGACAUACCUAGGAUGCAAUUACAAAUUAUAAUAGUUUUAAGGCCUGACAAAAACUCUCUCCUGCAUUUUACAACAGCAGCAGGACACGGACUCCUUUCUAACCCUAAGAAGAGAAUGCAUGGCAUUUUACCUUCCAUCAUCUAGGGCAGCUUUAAUUACAUUCAAAUUGAAUGAGAGACGUCCUGAAGAUGGAGCACAUAUGCAGGGCCCCAGAUGAUGAUCACAAGGUCCAGGUUGGUUCUUAGGAGGAAAGGAUGGCGACAAACUCUGUUCUUCCUUACUGACAUAUAAAAUCAAACCAGACCUCUAUCGUUUUUACAUUGUCCGUAGGGAAUGGUGGUGUUUUUUAAAGGGUGUUUUCAGUCCCUGUAUUGCUUUUGACAUCUUAAAGCUACAAUCCUAUACGCAAGGAAGCCCCACUGAACGCAUUGGGAUAUCAGAGGUUGUCAUGAAAUGCUUAAGACUGCAUUGCAGGUCCCCAUUCAUUCCUACAGUUAGAAGAAAUGGCACUUACUUUGAGUUACACCAAGCCAGCUUGUUUUAAGCUCUUGCAGCCCAACAGAGCAUAACAAAUUGAGGUGCCUCCCUCUCUGGCAUCCAUCAAGGCCACAGGCAAACCACCCUCUCAUUUGCUUAAACAUUCAGGCAAAAGCUACCCUAAGCCAUGAGCGGACAUAGUUAGAAGUACAAUUCAGUUCUCUGUUCCAAUACUGAAAACCACUAUUUAGUGUGGAGUAGCUGAGUGUACAGCCAAAAGUUCACACUGUAGCAAACAGGAUAACUUCGCAAGGGGUUCCUUUGCAAAGUUUCUUUAAUACAGAACACUCUAGUUGGAAAAUCUCCAACACAAACUAUUAAAUCUUUCUGUGUAGGCCAUAUAACGAAGAAAGAACCUGCAGAUGGUUACAAGCAUGGCCUAGGCAUUUAAGUAGAAUUUGUUUUAAAAGCAGAG